rnacentral:lncRNA from 1 species
UUGAUAUGGUAAUGUCAUGUUAGCUCUUGUUACAUCUUAUUAUUACAUUAACAAAUUUUUUUUUAAAAUUUAUAAUGUUACAUCAAUAAUACAAUAUGUCAUAUUAGGUGAUGUGAUAUUGAUAUAUGACACAUGAUAUCUAAUGUGGCAAUACCACAUCAACAUGUUAUUAAAGAUUGACGGUUACGAGAAUUUUGCUCAAAUUUUAAUAAUUAACUUGAAAAUUUUAGUAGUUAGGUGAUUAUUUUAAAAAUAAGAUCAUAAUCGAAUGACAACUGAUAUAUUUUACUCUAAAAAGUACUAUUGACUCAAAGUAUCUAUAUUACACUAGACAAGAUUAAAAGAAUCCCUUAAGGAUUCUUCGUUGACACUUGUCCAAUAUUACCAAAUUAUAAACAUACACUUAUUCCUCAUUAUAUACUACACUAGAUUAAAAGACUACUUAAGGAUUCUCUGUGCGACACUUGUCCAAUAUUACCAAAUUAUUAUUAUAACCUUAUUCAUCAUUCAUAUUCCAAUGACUCAUAAGACAUCUAUCCACUUUUGCAAAAUAUUCAUUUUGUCCAUUGAUCCUAAUUUUUUAUUAUAACUUAUCUAAUAUUUUAAAUAACUAUUACAUCCUUACUCUCUACUUGAUUGUCAAGAAAAUAGAGAUGGCAUUUAAUAAUUGUUAAGGGUAUUUUCAUCUUUUCAUCAACUUUCAUUGGAGGUUACUCUUGCACUUAAAACCUAAAACAUUGAUCAAUAUUUUGAGACUAUUGAUACAAAAUAUAAAAAAUUAAUCAAAAAAUAAAAAAGUGAAGAAACAGAUUUUUUUUCCUAAGUAUUCAAACAUAUCUAGGCUAAAUAUAUAUAAAAAAAAUUAAAACCAUCUUGAAAUCAAAUGUGUUUUUACAAAGAAAUUAGAACCAAAAUAAUAAAAACAAUACAUUCAAAUUGAUCUAAAAAUAGAAAUAAUAAUCCAAAAAUAACAAAAAUAGAUCUAGCAAAUUUUUUUUAUCCUACUUGAAAGUCAAAACCAAAAUAAUGCAAAAAAAAGUCAACAAAAAAACAAAUGCAUCUCAUCUCAGGUUUAGGGGAUUUUAAAGAGAUUUAGAGUUGUUUAAAAAGAUAAAAACAUAGAGGAAUUAAGAUUAGAGGAAGAAGACAAGGGCUAUUUUAGGGCUUUGGAGAUUUGGAUCUAGGCCUUUGAAAGGAGAUUUCAAAAAAAAAAAAAAUUUGAGUUAAGAAAAGAGAAUAUAAGGUUUAAAGGGAUCAAUUCUUUUUUUUUUUUUUUUUUUUUUUUGAGUUUUUUCGUCACUUGCGAGAUUUUGGUGGCAACGAGAAGACACGGUGGGAUUUUAAAGAGAGGGCAAGGAAUGGUGUAAUGGAAGCUGAGGGAGAAAGAUGGAAGAUGAAGAAUGAGAGAAAAAAACAUAGAGUUUAGGUUAAAUGCUUAAUUUAUAAUUAAACAUUUAAAAGAUUAUUUAAUUUAAGAUUAAACGUUUAUUUUAUAUGAAUAAAAAUUAAACCUUAUUGAUUUAUAAUAAUUUAAAAUUUUUUUAAAUAAAAACAAAGUUAUGAAUGACACACGUUAAAUUUUUACAAUUGAAAAAAUAAUCAAAUUUAUUGCUGAGUUGGCAAAAAAAAGUCAAAUUUGGUUACUAAACUCAUAAAAAAUUUUUAAAAUAAAAUUAAAUGAAAAUUUAACUUUUAACUUUUAUUUUAUUUUCCUUUCUCUCUAUCUGUUCUUCUCUCAUCAAUUUUUUCUCACACCCAUCUUUCUCUAAUCUUUCAAAUUCUCUAUGGCCACCAUCCUAACAACUCGAACAAAUCAGAGUCGAGCAAUAACCCACUUAUAUCCAAAAAAAUCCAAACACAUCUUCAAAGACUAAUCCUCAUUCUUUCACCUAAUGAAACCCUUUUCCUCUCCAAAUCUCAACCCAUCCGCAAGAUCAUUGCUACCUAAGCCAACUUUAUGUGCAUCAUCAUCCAACUAGAAUAGAAACCUUAUGGAAAAUAACUUCUAGAAGCUUGAAGAAGAAGAUUCCAACAUUAAAAUUAAGAUGGAAUUACGCAAUGUGAAGGCAGCUUUAAAAAAGACAAAGAUAAAGGUUUUAACGGGAGACAAGAUGGUGGCAAGUUUCAUUGAUUGGAUGAAAUGAAAUGGCAUGAUCAGGAAUUUUUUUCUAUGAAGCUCUAUGCUUAGUGUUGAUUUCUAGGUUUUGGAUUUUUUGUUAGAUAUUUUUUUGGGGUUUUGGUUGGUUUUAGUGAAUUAAUAUUUUCAAAGAAUCAAUUUCAUUUCAAUUAUCCAAUAAACAAAGAAUGAAACAAAAAAUAAAAACAUAUGGGGCUUAAAAAUGUCACGACCAAAGUCAUAAAAAAAGCCUUCAAGAUAUUAACUUGAGCCAUUAAUGAAAGAGAAAAGGUGAAAAAAUUUUUUCAGAAAAAAACCAAAGUUGGUACAGCUUGUGUUCAAAAACAAUGAAAAAACUCUCAUUGUCUCUAACUAAAAUCGAAUACCCAAUUGUAUGAAAGCUCUUCAAUUUUCAAAAUCACCCUACAAGAAAAAAGAAAGGAAAAAGUUGUUACAUUAAUAAGCGGUAAGGUAACGAAACCACCUUUUAUAGUAAAUACAGUACGUAGCUUUUUCAAAACCAAGAAAACCAAUUAGCAAGAAAGCAAUAAAAGAGAGAGAGAGAAAGGGAGAGACAGAGUUGGGUGUUCGCAUGGAGAUGGAUAUCAAUAGGAACGACUAUAACAAGAAGGGCCAAAUGGUAGUGAGAAUUUUGGUUCGUUUGAUGUUUUUGGUUUACAACCAUUAGAUUUUUAUUACCCACUGUUACUUUAAACCAAAAAAAUCAUAAAACUAGACUAUAAAAUACAUGAUAUCAAAAAAUAAGGUUGACAACUCAACUCGCAACCGGUGGAUUUCGACUUGAC